UUAUGUGUCUAAAAGAAGUAUCAGAGGUAGUCUCUGACCGUUAUAACUAACUCAAUAAGCUUCAAUAAUGUAACAGAAGAAAUCAAAAGACUAGAGAAAAGGUCAUGACGAGUGGUUGGGUCAUCAAACCUUAUUGCUAUAAAGAAAUACUACUCACACAAGUCACGUAUCUUGUGCAGGUUGAUAUGGGAGGAGUACCAGCAACACUGGUUAAUUUUGUGUCAAGAUGUCAGCCAUUAGCAGUUGCAUAUUUACGUGAUUAUUUAGAAACAACUAGUUUAAA